CCUUACUACAGGUCAAAAAACACCGUACAUGAACAGACCACAUGCUAAACAGCCAAACAAGAAUUUGAAAAAGUAAUAUCAUAACUCCUACAAUGGCGCCGACUUCGAAAUGAUCUGAUACUCCAUAGACCAUAAACCACGCAUAAAGCCAUAUUAGAUAUAUUAAUACAAAAGGAGCAACAUAAAAAUGAAAAUAUAAAGGUUGAUUUUUGUAAAGUUUAUAAUAGGCAACCUCGUCUGCGGCCAU
rnacentral:lncRNA from 1 species